AGCGAACGCUGGCGGCAGGCCUAACACAUGCAAGUCGAACGGAUCCUUCGGGAUUAGUGGCGGACGGGUGAGUAACACGUGGGAACGUGCCCUUUGGUUCGGAACAACUCAGGGAAACUUGAGCUAAUACCGGAUGUGCCCUUCGGGGGAAAGAUUUAUCGCCAUUGGAGCGGCCCGCGUCUGAUUAGCUAGUUGGUGAGGUAAAGGCUCACCAAGGCGACGAUCAGUAGCUGGUCUGAGAGGAUGAUCAGCCACAUUGGGACUGGGACACGGCCCAAACUCCUACGGGAGGCAGCAGUGGGGAAUCUUGCGCAAUGGGCGAAAGCCUGACGCAGCCAUGCCGCGUGAAUGAUGAAGGUCUUAGGAUUGUAAAAUUCUUUCACCGGGGACGAUAAUGACGGUACCCGGAGAAGAAGCCCCGGCUAACUUCGUGCCAGCAGCAGCCGCCGUAA
rnacentral:rRNA from 1 species